AUUUAUGAUAGAGUCCGCCUACCUCCUUUUCAUUUUGAUUCCUGCUGUUUAUUUUCUUCUUGUUCUUCUCUUUUUGAAGCUUUGAAACUCUCAGAACAAACAAUAUUCCCUCCUUUCUGUCUCUCUCUCUCUCACUCUCGCUCUCACAAACAAAUGCGAACUCUCAUUUCCAGCGUAUAAAAACCGCCGUAAUAGGAGCAGGCAACGCCGGAAGUUUGACAUAGAGUUCCGGCGAUGGCAUCAGAGGACGUGAAGACAGGGGAGAUUGCAGUCUCGAAGAUCGUGAAUCUGGCUGAGGAGGCGAAGCUAGCGAGAGAAGGAGUUAAGGCUCCAAGCCACGCCCUUGUCAGUAUCUGCAAGUCCCUAAUUGCCGGUGGAGUCGCUGGAGGAGUGUCACGUACUGCUGUUGCUCCCUUGGAAAGAUUAAAAAUUCUGCUCCAGGUUGUUUGUUGUUACAGUUUUUCCAUUUAGUUUUAUUUAAAUACAGUGAGCAAUUACAUUGCCUUCAGCUUCUGUUAUAGUGAGUUAUUUAUGCUGAAUUUAAGUAUUUCCAAUAACCUUGACCUUUGCAUAGAGAGAGAGAGAGAAUAUUAGGCAAAAUUACAAUGGCAUUGGGGAGAAUGUGUUUAAUGUUACAUUAUGAUGUUCCCCAUGCUUUUUAGUCAGAGUAAUAGGUUUUGCUUUUGCAUUAUACAGGUUCAAAAUCCACACAGUAUAAAAUACAAUGGUACAAUUCAGGGCUUGAAAUACAUAUGGAAAACUGAAGGUUUCAGAGGAAUGUUUAAAGGCAAUGGCACUAAUUGUGCUCGCAUUAUUCCAAAUUCAGCAGUCAAGUUCUUUAGUUAUGAGGAAGCAUCCAAGUAUGAGUUGUUGCUUCCUUCUAUGCAGUUUUAUUAGUUUUUCAACUUCUAAGUGUUCAUUUACAUUGCAUUUUUUGAUCCACAUAUUUAAAUGAAAAAUAUCAUAUAGGUUUCUAUUUCCCUAUUCUCUUCAAUCUGUGGUCUUAUUCCACCAAAUUAACUUUUUCUUCCCUUUUACUCACUUUUUGUGGACAGAGGCAUACUAUUUAUUUACAGGCAGCAAACUGGAAAUGGUAUGACCAUUCCUAUAUUCCCUUGCUUAGUUACUUGUGAACAUUCCAAUUUCCAUGAGAUAGAAUUCAUUCAGUAUUUCCAAUCAGAUCAUUAUUUACAUGUGACGUCCAUUUAAGUUUUUGUCCUGAUUUUCUAUCUGAGGUACAUGCAUCAAACUUCCUUUCUUAUUUUCCUUUUAGGUCAGUUGUGUGCAUUUUUUUAAAAUGUGCAUAACUUAUUAUUUUUUUUUGGCAUAUUAUUUAAUGUCAUGACAAGCAAAAUUACAUGGGACUGUGAAUUGAUGAGGGUUGUACGAUUUCAUGUACCUUUUUUAUGUGUAUGGACGUGAAUGGUCACAUGAUCUUCUGAUGAAUCAUAUUGAACUUUGGUAAAUUAUCUUAGUGUGCAAUUCCUUGUUCUUGCCUUUUUUUUAUUUUUAUUUUUAUUUUAUAUUACCACUCUCUUUCUGGGUUUUGGAUUUUAAUGGUGGAUUCUGCUCCUUGGUAUUUUUGAGAUUUAGUUGAAUUUAAAUUCUUUGCUUCUUUUUUCUAUCUGAUUAAGCAAAUGUUUAUGCGUAUUUUCCCUCUUUUAUCUUUUUUGAUAUCCAGAUGAUAUUGUAAAGGGUUAGUAAUUUCAAUUUUAGAUCAGAUUCAUUACCUCAAAUGAUAUGGCAAUGAAUUAUAGUACUCAAGAAAGGAUGGAUGAUAUAAGAGCCAAAGCAAAAUUUUUCUGGGUAUUUUUUUUAAAUGGUGGUUGAGAUUGUCAUUAGAAAGAGUUGGAAUUGUUGUUAUUGAUAAUUGAAUGGGUGAUGGAAUGAUAAGUGAACAUUCUUGCAUUGGUAUUGCCUCACAUUUCAGACACUUGAAAUGAAUGAUUCUCCUCUCCUUUCUUAUGGCAAACGCGAUGGAGAAGAAUAGUUGAGGAUUGGCCUUUAUUGUGAACAAUCCAGUAAUUAUUAAAUUUUAAUCAAUGUCCAAUCAGCAAAUGGGGCAAGAGGAUGAAAUAUAAUGCUGAGAGUUUCAGCAAAUCGUGUGUUUCUGUAGUUUCUUCUUGCUAUUGUAGGUUGGCUUGGAUCAAAGAUUGCAGCUUGAAAAUGUUUAAGCAUCAUAUGGACAUCUGCUCUCUCAUGCUGGGAAUUCAUGAAGGUAAAUAUUUUAAGCCAUAUACGUAGCUGCUAUUUUCACGGAAACAGCCUCCCAAAGGCUACAAGUAUAGUAUGCUUCAGGCACUGGGUCGCCCUUUUUUCUUUAUAUGGCUGCUAUUUUAAAAUAGCUUUAUCAAAUGGAAUCGGUUCCUUAAAAUGAAGCCUAGUAAUGUUCUGCAUAAUGUUGUAAUAAAAUUUGUUCUUUUUGCACACUGAAAAUUAAUUUUUUCUUAAGCAUUUCUAUAACAUUUGCCUGAGUUGACUUGGUUUUAUAUGUAGAUCAGUAGUAUGGAUUUUCUGGAAAUCUUCUUGCAAAUUUGUCCUUAAAUCCAUUAGAUCCCUGUUUUUGUGCUGAUAUCUAACACGGGUGUCUCCCCUGUUUUUGUAGGCUCCAAGUGCUUAUACAAAUUAUUUUGAAAUCGUUACUGAAUAAUCUCUGGUGAUUGACUACUUCUUCACAUGUAAUUCCGGAGCAAACAUUUAGUCUACUGUUGGUGGGGGCUUAAGGAUGAUAUUUGCAUUGUUCUACAUAUGAUGAUGCUAGUUGGUCAAGCUGGUGUAGUGACUCGUUAUGAUGAACGGUGACGUUGAGUUACAGAAUUCUUAUAUGUUUCAUUCACUUCGUUAUUCACUUUCCGUAUUAACAAAUUUAUCAAUAAGCAAAAUAUAAAGUUCAUGUAUUUAAAUUAGCACAUAUUGUGCUAAAUUAUUUAAUUUUUGUGGAAUAUAUAGAUAGAUAAUUAAGAGUUUCAAAUACAAUUUUCAAUCUUACACUGUUUCACCACAUUUUCGAAUCAAUCGUGUGGACCAGGAGGACUGACACUAGGACGAGGCGCAGUUCCCGACAGUAUCCUAGUGUUUCUUAAAUUGGCAUCAGCGAUUUGCUCGGAACCAGGUGGCAGAUUUUCAUAUUUGGUUUCACAAGCGAAGUGUGCUUUUCUAACAAGUUGACAAGCAACUUCUUUACUUCCCUUUCCCGAAGCUAAUCUUGCAAAUUCAACUCCAAGGGAAAAUGAGAUUGAUCCGGCAACAAUUAAGAUUAUGACUAACAACUUCUUCAUCAUCAAACUGCACAACCAUAACUAGUCGGAUUAUAUAUUUGUGUGUGAAGAAAUGAAUAAUACAAUAUGGUGUUAAGAAAGAAAAGAAGGAUUGAAAUUACCUCCCCAUGAGCAAUUUUGGGUGGUUGUCUCUGAGUGCUUUUGCCUUGGUCUGGCUUUUGAAAGCCUCGUAUAUUUAUGCAUUGAUUAUUGGAUAAAGACUUUGGGGGUAUUGAAAGGCUUCUUGGUCCAAGUCAAGACUGCGAACACCCACUGUAUUCAUAUUACUGUAA
rnacentral:misc_RNA from 1 species